ACGAACGCUGGCGGCACGCUUAACACAUGCAAGUCGAACGAGAGAAGAGGAGCUUGCUUUUCUGAUCUAGUGGCGGACGGGUGAGUAACACGUGAGCAAUCUGCCUUUCAGAGGGGGAUACCGAUUGGAAACGAUCGUUAAUACCGCAUAACAUAAUUGAACCGCAUGAUUUGAUUAUCAAAGAUUUAUCGCUGAAAGAUGAGCUCGCGUCUGAUUAGCUAGUUGGUAAGGUAACGGCUUACCAAGGCGACGAUCAGUAGCCGGACUGAGAGGUUGAUCGGCCACAUUGGGACUGAGACACGGCCCAGACUCCUACGGGAGGCAGCAGUGGGGAAUAUUGCACAAUGGAGGAAACUCUGAUGCAGCGAUGCCGCGUGAGGGAAGAAGGUUUUAGGAUUGUAAACCUCUGUCUUUGGGGACGAAAAAUGACGGUACCCAAGGAGGAAGCUCCGGCUAACUACGUGCCAGCAGCCGCGGUAAUACGUAGGGAGCGAGCGUUGUCCGGAAUUACUGGGUGUAAAGGGAGCGUAGGCGGGAUCGCAAGUCAGAUGUGAAAACUAUGGGCUUAACCCAUAAACUGCAUUUGAAACUGUGGUUCUUGAGUGAAGUAGAGGUAAGCGGAAUUCCUAGUGUAGCGGUGAAAUGCGUAGAUAUUAGGAGGAACAUCAGUGGCGAAGGCGGCUUACUGGGCUUUAACUGACGCUGAGGCUCGAAAGCGUGGGGAGCAAACAGGAUUAGAUACCCUGGUAGUCCACGCCGUAAACGAUGAUUACUAGGUGUGGGGGGACUGACCCCUUCCGUGCCGCAGCAAACGCAAUAAGUAAUCCACCUGGGGAGUACGACCGCAAGGUUGAAACUCAAAGGAAUUGACGGGGGCCCGCACAAGCAGUGGAGUAUGUGGAUUAAUUCGAAGCAACGCGAAGAACCUUACCAGGUCUUGACAUCGUAUGCAUAGCUCAGAGAUGAGUGAAAUCUCUUCGGAGACAUAUAGACAGGUGGUGCAUGGUUGUCGUCAGCUCGUGUCGUGAGAUGUUGGGUUAAGUCCCGCAACGAGCGCAACCCUUACUGUUAGUUGCUACGCAAGAGCACUCUAGCAGGACUGCCGUUGACAAAACGGAGGAAGGUGGGGAUGACGUCAAAUCAUCAUGCCCCUUAUGACCUGGGCCUCACACGUACUACAAUGGCUGUCAACAGAGGGAAGCAAAGCCGCGAGGUGGAGCGAACCCCUAAAAGCAGUCUUAGUUCGGAUUGUAGGCUGCAACCCGCCUACAUGAAGUCGGAAUUGCUAGUAAUCGCAGAUCAGCAUGCUGCGGUGAAUACGUUCCCGGGCCUUGUACACACCGCCCGUCACGCCAUGGGAGUCGGUAACACCCGAAGCCUGUAGUCUAACCGCAAGGAGGACGCAGUCGAAGGUGGGAUUGAUGACUGGGGUG
rnacentral:rRNA from 1 species